GCACAGAGGAGCUGGCAGGGGGCUUUAGGGAGCCCAGCUUGGCUCUGGGAGAGGGGACAGUGAUUUCCCUGCUGGUCUGAUCCCCCUUGGCUCUCAGCCAUCCUCAAUCCCACUCUGCUCACUGCCCAGACAGCAGAGGAACCCAUGCUGGGACAGCUUUGCUGCUGGAUUCAGCUCAUUUCCCAGGGAUUCUCCUGUGGAAAGGCCUGGAGAUCCCCCCUGGAGAGCCAGUGGUGCUUGGCUUCGAAAUGGUGAAGUGAAUUUUAAAGUUGUAUCAGUCUCCCGUGAAAUCUUCCAGCAUGAGGAACACCCCGAGCCAACCCGAGCUAUCCCGCGAUGUGCAGCAGAAUGACAGAGCACAGGUUUGUGAAUACCUGCAGGAUUUGCUUUCACCCGCAGCGCUUUCCCAACCCUGCCCGGACAAAGGAGAGGGGAAGGUCCAAAAGA